rnacentral:rRNA from 1 species
CCUUGUACACACCGCCCGUCACAUCACGAAAGUGGGCCGUACUAGAAGCCGGUGUGCUAACCGCAAGGAGGGCGAUUACCACGGCAGGGUUCGUGACUGGGGUG